rnacentral:rRNA from 1 species
UACAGAGGGUGCAAGCGUUAAUCGGAAUUACUGGGCGUAAAGGGCGCGUAGGUUGUUAUUUAAGUGAGAUGUGAAAUCCCCGGGCUUAACCUGGGAACUGCAUCUUAUACUGGGUAACUGGAGUGCAAUAGAGGGUAGUGGAAUUUCCGGUGUAGCGGUGAAAUGCGUAGAUAUCGGAAGGAACACCAGUGGCGAAGGCGGCUACCUGGAUUGACACUGACACUGAGGCGCGAGAGCGUGGGGAGCAAAC